rnacentral:rRNA from 1 species
UACGUAGGUGGCAAGCGUUGUCCGGAUUUACUGGGCGUAAAGGGAGCGUAGGUGGAUAUUUAAGUGGGAUGUGAAAUACUCGGGCUUAACCUGAGUGCUGCAUUCCAAACUGGAUAUCUAGAGUGCAGGAGAGGAAAGUAGAAUUCCUAGUGUAGCGGUGAAAUGCGUAGAGAUUAGGAAGAAUACCAGUGGCGAAGGCGACUUUCUGGACUGUAACUGACACUGAGGCUCGAAAGCGUGGGGAGCAAACAGGG